GGAGGCGUAACUCGUCUGGUGACGGGCGCGGUCCUCAACACCGUGGUGACCGGGUACCCCGGUCAGGCGGGUUCGAUUCCCGUCCGCCUCCGCCA
rnacentral:tRNA from 1 species